ACAAGCCGCCUGGUCUCGCUGUCACUUGGCAGGCAAGAGAGGUGAGAAAACUGACACUUGGAGAGGUAGAGUAGCUUUAUUUACUUCACACAAGCUUUUGAUGAAUUUCAAGUCUCAACCUAGAAGUCUUCCUCUAAGGUUCGUGCUUUCACGCACCUGUAAUUCAAAUACUGAUGAAAACAAAACUAUUGCCCUCCUACCAAAUGGGAAAUUAAUGUUAUGACUGGAUAAGACAAUUGUGAAGAAACUGCACUUCGAGGUUGUCUGUCUCCGUAUUCCGAUGGAAAAGGCUGGACUUUAGAAGCAUUGCUCGCUCCUUCAGUUUCUAACAAGAGUUUUACAGUUUCUGAUUAAAUACCAAUGGGAUAUCACCUCCCAUCUCUUAGGAUGGCUGUUAUAAAAAGGACAAGAGAUAACAAGUGUUGGUGAUGGUGUGGAGAGAAGGGAACCUUUGUACACUGCUGGUUAAAAUGUAAGUUAGUACAGCCAUUAUGGAAAACAGUAUGAAAGUUCCUGAGAAUCUAAAAAUAGAACUACCAUAUGGCUCAGCAAUCCCUCCUAUGAAUUAUAUAUCAACAGGAAAUGAAAUCAGCAUCUGAUAGAGAUAUCUUCACUCCCCUCUUCUCCGUGCCCCACCACAGCAUUGCUCCCAACAGCCAAGCCAUGGGAUGAAGUUACUGUGCAUUGAUGGAUGAGUGGAGAAAAGAAAAUGUGGGGGAGGUGUUUGUGCAUGUAUGUGUGUGUGUGUAUAAUAUAUAAUAAUAUAAUAUUUUUCAGCUUUUAAGAAGUUGAAGAUACUGCCAUUUGUGAUAACAUAAAUGAAUCUGGAGGAUAUUAAGCUAAGUAAAAUAACUUAGGGAGAGAGAAAAAUACUGCAUAAUUUCUGUUACAUAUGAAAUCUUUAAAAAGGUUUAAUACAUAGAGACAUGAUAGAGUGAUGAUUUGGGGGAUAAGAGACACAAGUCAACGUUUCAGUUAUAUAAAAUAAAUGAAUCUAGAGGACUAAAGUACAAUUUAAAGGUUAUAGUUACUAUUUUUAUAUUAUAUACUAGUGAUUUUUGAACAGGGUAAACUUUAGGUGCUUUGACACCAAAAGGAAACUACAUGAGUUCAUGUAUAUGUUAAAUUGUUUGACCGCAGUCAUCAUUGAUAUGUAUAUGUAUAUAUAUAUAAUUAUGGGCUCAUUAAAUUUAAAUGCUAUAAAUAGGUAACAAAGAAUAAAGUUAAUUGAAAAACUGCAUCAUUAGACUUGAUUUUGCCUACAUGAAAAACUGAAACUGCCUCCUAAAUAUUAAUAUUUGUACAUCGCAUAAAGUUUAUAUGUUGGAAAUAUGUUUAAAGAAAAGGAAUUAUAAAUUUUAAUAAACACAGAAUGACACAGUAAAU
rnacentral:lncRNA from 1 species